rnacentral:misc_RNA from 1 species
AAAGGUAAUUUCUCUCCUUGGCUUUGAAUACAUUUACUAGCAGGAAAAUUGAUUUAAAUUGGACGGAGGGAUUAAAGAGUAAACGGAAUAAAAAUAUAAAGACUAACUUAUAUAUUUUUCAAAAUAGAAGGACCAUGUAGUUAGUUUCAUUAAAAUAGAUGGGCUAAAUUGUAAUUUCCUCUACUUUUUUUUUUUCGCUCAGAGAGCGCCCACUCAUAAGAUCACAAACAUCAAUAUGCACUAGCUCUAAUUUCUCUUUAGCUCUCCACACUGAAUCACUUGGAAAAUACUGCUUAUAAAGCUUACUAUAAUAACAAUUGUCACAAAUCUCACAAUUAACACUUAUAGUUUGUAUGUCUCUCACCAUAUUAAUAGUUAGCAUAAAUUUCAUAGAAGCAAGAUUGAAGUCCUCAUAUCUCUUAGGCAACGACCAAGUUUCAUCUACCUUAAAACUAUAAACAUGCUGAUUGAAGCUUUCAAAUACUAAUGAAAAACUAUGUUCAGCCAUUUUAAUCUUAGCAACUUCACAAUUUUCAUAAUCAUGAAUAUGACAAUAGAGAUUUUUAAGGGAAAAUUACUAUUU